GGUCAGGUCCUAUGCGGCGGCGCGCCCGUGAACUCCGCGAGAUCCGGAAGGAAGCACCGGUAGCGAGGUUGCCCGAGUGCCGUAGGUUCCCUGGCCCUU
rnacentral:SRP_RNA from 1 species